rnacentral:rRNA from 1 species
CAAUAGCGUAUAUUUAAGUUGCUGCAGUUAAAAAGCUCGUAGUUGGAUUUCGGGUGGGAAUGGCCGGUCCGCCGUUUCGGUGUGCACUUGCUACGCCCACCUUGCUGCCGGGGACGUGCUCUUGAGUUCACGCUCGGGACACGGAGUCGGCGAGGUUACUUUGAGUAAAUUAGAGUGUUCACAGCAGGCCUACGCUCUGAAUACAUUAGCAUGGAAUAACACGAUAGGACUCUGGCCUAUCUUGUUGGUCUGUAGGACCGGAGUAAUGAUUAAGAGGGACAGUCGGGGGCAUUCGUAUUUCAUUGUCAGAGGUGAAAUUCUUGGAUUUAUGAAAGACGAACUACUGCGAAAGCAUUUGCCAAGGAUGUUUUCAUUAA